rnacentral:rRNA from 1 species
GACGAACGAGGGAGGCGUGCGUAACACAUGCAAGUCGAACGCUGAAGCCCCAGCUUGCUGGGGUGGAUGAGUGGCGAACGGGUGAGUAACACGUGAGUAACCUGCCCCUGACUUCGGGAUAAGCCCGGGAAACUGGGUCUAAUACCGGAUACGACUAUCGGACGCAUGUCUGGUGGUGGAAAGUUUUUUCGGUUGGGGAUGGGCUCGCGGCCUAUCAGUUUGUUGGUGAGGUAAUGGCUCACCAAGACGACGACGGGUAGCCGGCCUGAGAGGGCGACCGGCCACACUGGGACUGAGACACGGCCCAGACUCCUACGGGAGGCAGCAGUGGGGAAUAUUGCACAAUGGGGGAAACCCUGAUGCAGCGACGCAGCGUGCGGGAUGACGGCCUUCGGGUUGUAAACCGCUUUCAGCAGGGAAGAAGCCUUCGGGUGACGGUACCUGCAGAAGAAGUACCGGCUAACUACGUG